CCUACGGGAGGCAGCAGUGGGGAAUAUUGCACAAUGGGCGCAAGCCUGAUGCAGCGACGCCGCGUGAGGGAUGACGGCCUUCGGGUUGUAAACCUCUUUCAGUAGGGAAGAAGCGAAAGUGACGGUACCUGCAGAAGAAGCGCCGGCUAACUACGUGCCAGCAGCCGCGGUAAUACGUAGGGCGCAAGCGUUAUCCGGAAUUAUUGGGCGUAAAGAGCUCGUAGGCGGUUUGUCGCGUCUGCCGUGAAAGUCCGGGGCUCAACUCCGGAUCUGCGGUGGGUACGGGCAGACUAGAGUGAUGUAGGGGAGACUGGAAUUCCUGGUGUAGCGGUGAAAUGCGCAGAUAUCAGGAGGAACACCGAUGGCGAAGGCAGGUCUCUGGGCAUUAACUGACGCUGAGGAGCGAAAGCAUGGGGAGCGAACAGGAUUAGAUACCCUGGUAGUCCAUGCCGUAAACGUUGGGCACUAGGUGUGGGGGACAUUCCACGUUUUCCGCGCCGUAGCUAACGCAUUAAGUGCCCGCUGGGGAUACGGCCGCAAGGCUAAAACGUCAAAGGAUUGACGGCGNGAGAGNGCGAGACGACGACGAGGAGAGG
rnacentral:rRNA from 1 species